UUCAUGCUGGGAAGAUGCUGUGGGUGAACGUCCAGGGUCUGAUGGUGCUUGCUGAUGUCUCCCCUAGCUAGGAGAUUGCACUGAACCUGGCUCGGCCCUCCAAAGCGAGCCCCUGCCUGCACCCCAGCCAGCAGGACGGAGCGGCAUGGGUCAGAGGACCGCCUGGCGCUGGGGGGCCAUGGAUGCUGCUUGGAUUCAGGAGCCGCGGGCCCCUGAACCUGCCCCUUCCCCAGCUCCCCGAGCCUGUCCCAUCUGUCUGGGCCCUUCUCAAGCAGUGGUACCCACGGCUCUCCAAACACCUCGAAGACUGAAGGGCUGUUGUGGAUUUGUUUCCUGUUGCUGACCCAGUUGAUGCACCAUUGGUACCUGCAGUGGGAUUCCAUCCAAUGAGCAGCAUGGCACCUGAGACCCUCCUGACUGAAGCAGUAGCAAUUUAUGUGGCAACAGCAACCCCACCUGCAGCAGUUUACAUGGCAGCAGCAGCGGGUGUUCAUUCUCCCUCUUUCAGGGAGAAUGAACAGGCUGCUAAUCACAGAGAUCUGCUGCAGCUGGCAUUCUAGCCAUGUGCACACAGACUGAUUGCCCGGUUCUGCCUCCAAAUGCCUCCCUCCUGCAACCCAUGCUUCUCCCUCUGAGUUCCAGGCAGGUUUCUCCACUGCCAGGCCAGAGUCUAUCAGGAAAGCAAGGACCGUGGGGCUGCCCAACUCUAGAAGCUGGAGCAAUGGGCCCUACUCAGGCCCUUUGAUUGCCUUGGGUGGGGGAAGCUGGUAGUGCCAGGGGAUACCAUUAGAUAUUAGUGAAAGAAAGUGGUUAGCCUUGCCCACCCAAUGCCCCAAUGCCACCCUAUUGUGGGACUGAUUGGCACAACUAGCGGGUAAUGAGUUACUUGCCAUGCCCAGGUGGGCAUCCCCGAAGGAACGCCAAAACACCAAGGAACUUUGUUAAGUGCGGCUUGUUUCCUUCAGCAUGCUGGGGGUUAGCUUAACUCCUUCCUUUGGCCCCUGAGGUGGGAACAGAGAAACAGCCCCAGUUACCUGGGCGUGUGGAGGGGGAAGGUCUGUGCCAAAGGGGUGUGGAGUGGCAUCACCUGGCACUUUCCAGGGCUGGGCUAGAACCCAGGCCGAGUUUUCCAGUUGGUUUGCUCUUUAAUGGAUGCGUUGCAGCCGGGGCUGCAAAGCCGGGUUUCUCCCACUGCUGUCUCAUAGACUCAUAGACUUUAAGGUCAGAAGGGACCAUUAUGAUCAUCUAGUCUGACCUCCUGCACAAUGCAGGCUACAAAAUCUCACCCACCCACUCCUGGAACAAACCCCUAACUCAUUCAAACCAGCAGGACCCAAUUAACCCCAAUCCAUUUCACAAGGUUAUGCCUCAAUCGACCAUAUCUCUGGCCCACCCGCUGGCCACCUGGGCACCCGCUCAGCGGUGUUGGCCAUGCCCGGUGUGCCAAGCACCAGGUGCUAAAUGCUGCUCCAUCAGCCAGGGGGAUCAAACAUCGUCCAGAGCCACUUUAAAGGGACAUCAGCAGGAGAAGGCAAAUGUGGAGGAGCCAGUAGCUCAUUCAAGUCUCUUGGCGCCUGUUGCCCCUGAUCCCACCCACAACCAAGCCCCUGUGGCGGUGAGCUCAGCCCCACGGCGUCUCUCUCUCUGUCGCUUACACCGCUCCAAGAAUAAAACCUCGCAGGGGAAACUUGCUGACUAACGGGUGGGUUCUUGGCUGCUGAGCCAACUCCAAAGGCCUUCCGCUCCCCGCAGGGUUCCAAACUUCCCCUUCUUAUUUUUACCCACCCAUUAUUUACAUUCUCCUGUCUCUCCUUUCCAGCCCCUACCUACAGAUCAGCUGGGAGGCUCUUGCUGGUAGUCCCACAGCUCGACUUUCCCAGGGUGGGGCCUGCUUCCAGGGGGAGCUAUGGAUCUGCCUCCUGGGGGCGCUCUCCCAAAGCCUGGCUCUGAUGGCCCUGCAUUGGCUGCAGCGGCUACCUUGUUCUUGGGGUAGUUCUACCUAUAAUUGUCUGUGUUCUUUAGCAGCUGCAAAUAGCAUCUAGAUCUGAAGGUGAUCGAGGCUUUUAAAAUGACU